GGCUCUGCUUCAAACUAGAUCCUAACCAAAACCAACUUACUUUAUGAUCUCAAAUGGAAAUAGAUUACAAUAUUGGUGUAACCUAACCUAUAAAAAGUUUUUGGCAAAUAUGGAUCUUUGAAUUGUCAAAAAAAAAUUUUAUUUCCUUGCAAGAUUCUCUUUAUGCUUAAAAAUCACCUUUGGCAUUGAAAUUUAUAUGGCAAAAACUAGAAAGAGAAUUAAAGGUUGCCACCUAA
rnacentral:lncRNA from 1 species